UACGAAGGGUGCAAGCGUUACUCGGAAUUACUGGGCGUAAAGCGUGCGUAGGUGGUUCGUUAAGUCCGAUGUGAAAGCCCUGGGCUCAACCUGGGAAUGGCAUGGGAUACUGGCGGGCUAGAGUGCGGUAGAGGGUAGUGGAAUUCCCGGUGUAGCAGUGAAAUGCGUAGAGAUCGGGAGGAACAUCUGUGGCGAAGGCGACUGCCUGGACCAGCACUGACACUGAGGCACGAAAGCGUGGGGAGCAAACAGG
rnacentral:rRNA from 1 species